AUACAAUAUUAACAACGGUUUAUGUCUGGAUUCUGCCAACUCCUUACAAAAUAUACAAGAGGUUGUUAAUUUAAAGCUUUGCCAUUUUCAUGGCGGAAACCAAUACUGGGUAUACACGAAAGAUGGCGAGAUACGACGAGAUGACAUGUGUUUAGAUUACUUUCUCAACUCGAUUACUUUAUUUAUAUGCCGUGGCGGGUCUUCGUCGCAGAUAUGGAUUUACGACGAGAAGACGAAAAACAUAAAACACAAAACCACUCAGCUAUGUUUAGGCGCAGCGAAAUUUCAAGUUGGAUACAAAUUGACCCUCGAAAAUUGCUUCAAAUCAAGUCAUCAAAAAUGGAUGAUGGAAAACUACGCCACUGACAAGCAACGUGUUGGUUUGACACCUAUUCCCAUACAGGUGGUGUGAUA